GACGAGGUGGCCGAGUGGUUAAGGCGAUGGACUGCUAGUCCAUUGGGUUUCUUGCCUUACGUGGGUUCGAACUCAUCCUCGCCG